rnacentral:rRNA from 1 species
UGGUGUUGAUGACGCUGAGGGUCCACCUGUUCCCAUACCGAACACAGAAGUUAAGCUCAGUGGUGCCGAAAAUACUUGGCUGGUGACGGCCCGGGAAGAUAGGGAGAUGCCAACACA